rnacentral:tRNA from 1 species
GGGCGGGUGGCGGAACUGGUAGACGCACUAGACUCAAAAUCUAGCGGCCUUGCGGCCAUAAGAGUUCGAUUCUCUUCCUGCCCA